rnacentral:rRNA from 1 species
GAUGAACGCUGGCGGCGUGCCUAAUACAUGCAAGUCGAGCGAACAGACGAGGAGCUUGCUCCUCUGACGUUAGCGGCGGACGGGUGAGUAACACGUGGAUAACCUACCUAUAAGACUGGGAUAACUUCGGGAAACCGGAGCUAAUACCGGAUAAUAUAUUGAACCGCAUGGUUCAAUAGUGAAAGACGGUUUUGCUGUCACUUAUAGAUGGAUCCGCGCCGCAUUAGCUAGUUGGUAAGGUAACGGCUUACCAAGGCAACGAUGCGUAGCCGACCUGAGAGGGUCGAGGCCCACCCGGGAAGUGAGACGGGGCCCAGCCACCUGGGGGGGGCAGCGGGGGGGACUCUUCCGAAAGGGAGGAGAGCGUGAGGGGGCACCCCGGGGUGAGGAAUGAAGGUGUACGGAUGAAAAAACUCUGUAGUAGGGAAAGAAAAAAUGUGUAAUUAACAGGGCACGUCUUGACGGUACCAAAACAAAAAGCCACGGCUAACUCCGUG